rnacentral:rRNA from 1 species
CCAUCAAACUCCGAAUAUCGACACGUGAAAGUCAGGAGUGAGACCGCGGGUGAUAAGGUUCGUGGUCGAAAGGGAAACAGCCCAGAUCAUCAGCUAAGGCCCCCAAGAGCAUGCUAAGUGUGACAAGGAUGUGGGGACCCCGAAACAGCCAGGAGGUUGGCUCAGAAGCAGCCAUCCUUUAAAGAGUGCGUAACAGCUCACUGGUCGAGGACCCCCGCGCCGAAAAUGUAGGGGGCUAAGCAUGCCGCCGAAGCUAUGGGAUGGAGAAAUCCAUCGGUAGGGGAGCGUAGUUAACGGGACGAAGCAGUGCCGCAAGACAUUGUGGACCGUUAAGUAGUGAGAAUGCCGGCAUGAGUAACGACAUAUUUGCGAGAAUCAAAUACACCGGAAGACCAAGGAUUCCUGGGGAAGGUUGAUCCGCCCAGGGUAAGGCGGGCCCUAAGUUAAGGCUGAAAAGCGUAGAUGAUGGACAGCAGGUCGAAAUUCCUGCCCCGCGAUAAGUUCGCUACGACCGAAGCAGCGACGCAGAAAGCUAGACAGGCCGGCUGAUGGAAUAGCCAGUCCAAGGAAGCAGGUUGGAGAGACAGUCAAGCACAUCUCUCCGUCAAGACCGAGAUCCGAGAGGGAGCCUCGUAAGAGGCGAAGCUGUUGAAGCUCCGCUGCCAGGAAAACCUGCUAGGGAGAACUUAUAGCGCCCGUACCCGAAACCGACACAGGUGGUCAAGCUGAGCAAGCUAAGGUGAGUGGAAUAACUCUCGUUAAGGAACUCUGCAAGUUAACUCCGUAACUUAGGGAGAAGGAGUGCUGCGCCCGUCAAUCGUAAGGUGAAGCGGGGAGCAGCCACAGAAACCAGGCUCAAGCGACUGUUUACCAAAAACACAGGACUCUGCAUAAGACGCAAGUCGAAGUAUAGAGUCUGACGCCUGCCCGGUGCUGGAAGGUUAAAUGGAAGAGUGAGCCGCAAGGCGCAGCUUAGAAAUGAAGCCCCAGUAAACGGCGGCCGUAACUAUAACGGUCCUAAGGUAGCGAAAUUCCUUGUCGGGUAAGUUCCGACCUGCACGAAUGGCGUAACGAUUUGAGCGCUGUCUCAACGAGAGAUCCAGUGAAAUUGUGGUACCGGUCAAGACGCCGGUUACCCGUGGUAGGACGGAAAGACCCCAUGGAGCUUUACUGUAGCCUGAUACUGAUAUUUGAAAUUUCAUGCACAGGAUAGGUGGGAGGCGAAGAAGAGAGAGCUUUGGCUUUCUUGGAGCCAUCGUUGGGAUACCACCCUUGUGAUUUCGAAUGUCUAACUUUAGCGUCUGAAUCGACGAAGAGGACACAGUCAGGUGGGCAGUUUGACUGGGGCGGUCGCCUCCCAAAGAGUAACGGAGGCGCGCAAAGGUCAACUCAUGGCGAAUGGAAACCGCCAAGAGAGCGCAAGGGUAUAAGUUGGCUUAACUGCGAGAGAGACAUUUCGAGCAGAGACGAAAGUCGGGCUUAGUGAUCCGGCGGGGCUGAAUGGAAAGG